rnacentral:other from 1 species
UUUUCCACUGCUGCACCGAGGGCACGCCCUUCCUCCGGGGGGCUUGGGAUCCCGGAGAAUUGCCUUUGUGAAAAGCUGGCAAUAAUUUCUUUAAAUUCCGUCUCUUAGUUUUCCACGUAAGUAUCCGUGGUUGCUGCGGGUUAUUGUUAAGCAUCAUUAAGUGUCCCAGUGAAUUCUGAGUGAGUUUCUCCACCCUGUUUGCAGUUUGUUACGUUUCAGAGGAACAUCAAGAAACC